AACGAACGCUGGCGGCAGGCUUAACACAUGCAAGUCGAACGCCCCGCAAGGGGAGUGGCAGACGGGUGAGUAACGCGUGGGAAUCUACCGUACCCUACGGAAUAACGCAUGGAAGCGUGUGCUAAUACCGUAUACGCCCUUCGGGGGAAAGAUUUAUCGGGGUAUGAUGAGCCCGCGUUGGAUUAGCUAGUUGGUGGGGUAAAGGCCUACCAAGGCGACGAUCCAUAGCUGGUCUGAGAGGAUGAUCAGCCACAUUGGGACUGAGACACGGCCCAAACUCCUACGGGAGGCAGCAGUGGGGAAUAUUGGACAAUGGGCGCAAGCCUGAUCCAGCCAUGCCGCGUGAGUGAUGAAGGUCUUAGGAUUGUAAAGCUCUUUCACCGAUGAAGAUAAUGACGGUAGUCGGAGAAGAAGCCCCGGCUAA
rnacentral:rRNA from 1 species